GGCGAACGGGUGAGUAACACGUAGGUAACCUGCCCUCAAGACGAGGAUAACCAUUGGAAACGAUGGCUAAUACUGGAUAGGUAUGAAGAAGGCAUCUUCUUCAUAUUAAAGGACCCCUGGUAUACUUGAGGAUGGACCUGCGGCGCAUUAGUUAGUUGGUGAGGUAAUGGCUCACCAAGACGAUGAUGCGUAGCCGGACUGAGAGGUUGAACGGCCACAUUGGGACUGAGACACGGCCCAAACUCCUACGGGAGGCAGCAGUAGGGAAUUUUCGGCAAUGGAGGAAACUCUGACCGAGCAACGCCGCGUGAAUGAAGACAUAUUUCGGUAUGUAAAGUUCUUUUAUCAGGGAAGAAUGUUCCAUGGAAAAAUGGAAGUGACGGUACCUGAUGAAUAAGCCCCGGCUAACUAUGUGCCAGCAGCCGCGGUAAUACAUAGGGGGCGAGCGUUAUCCGGAAUUAUUGGGCGUAAAGGGUGCGUAGGCGGCUUUUUAAGUCCUUGGUAUAAGUGCAGUGCUUAACGCUGUGAUGCUAAGGAAACUGGAAGGCUUGAGUAAGAUAGAGGCAAGUGGAAUUCCAUGUGUAGCGGUAAAAUGCGUAAAUAUAUGGAGGAACACCAGUGGCGAAGGCGGCUUGCUGGGUCUUUACUGACGCUGAGGCACGAAAGCGUGGGGAGCAAACAGGAUUAGAUACCCUGGUAGUCCACGCUGUAAACGAUGAGUACUAAGUAUUGGAGAAAUUCAGUGCUGUAGCUAACGCAAUAAGUACUCCGCCUGAGUAGUACGUACGCAAGUAUGAAA
rnacentral:rRNA from 1 species